GUGGGCUAUGCAAAUUAUGGGGGAGGGGAGAGAGAAAACCAAGGGUGUUGGGAAGUGGAGAAGGUGGUGGGGACAAGACACUCAGUGAAAUCAAAGGAGCGCCGGAGUGGGGGCACUAGAGGAACGUGAGGGGAGGGGGCGUGGACAGUGUGAGUUGCUCAUGGUACAGACUCCACAGGUAAGAACAUUAGGGGAGAUGAUGAGGUCCAGAAUAUGGCCACAGAAGUGCGAUGGGGGAAGAUCAUUGGAGGAAACGAGGUCUGGCCGUUGAGUAUUACGUCGGUCAUCCAUAUGGAUGGUUUACCUGCAGGCCGAGAUUUCAAAAACCCCAACAAACAAACACACAGCACUGUGGGAUUUCAGGCAGUGACCACCUGCAUUUCAUUUUGGCAAUUAAACCAGGACUCCCUUUCAAAGAAACUUCUAUGCAAAGUGCCGUGUUUCUAGAAUGAGGCGCGUGUUUUUUCAACCUUGAAGUCACCCUCUUGAAAAGAAGACCCAGAAACCCAAGCUUUCAGAACUUGGUUAUAGUAUCACCAUUGCUAUGGUAAUUUUACAACCAAUAGCCCCCAAAGUUACUUUAUUUAACAGAGGGCUUCAAGACCAGGCGGAAUUUCUUGGCAAUCUCACCUGCCCCUGCUGACUUGACUGUUCUACAUCUGUUUCCAUGGGAAUCUUCACCCUUAAAGUCCAGGAGAUGACCUCAGCUGCACCAAGUUGCCAAGCAGAGCCCAUCCGGAGAGGGAGGGGUGGGGGGAUUUGGACACAGGGCCCCUUGCUGGUCCCAGCACUGCUGUCUGACCCAGAAACAAUGAACCUGUUCACUAUUCAUAAACGCUGUCCAAUAAAGAGCAUGCAUCAAAACUUAAAAGCCAA